rnacentral:rRNA from 1 species
CCUACGGGUGGCAGCAGUGAGGAAUAUUGGGCAAUGGGGGCAACCCUGACCCAGCCAUGCCGCGUGAGUGAAGAAGGUCUUCGGAUUGUAAAACUCUUUCGGACGUGACGCUGAUGACGGUAGCGUCUAAAGAAGCACCGGCAAACUUCGUGACAGCAGCCGCGGUAAUACGCAGGGGGCGAGCGUUGUUCGGAUUUACUGGGCGUAAAGGGAGUGUAGGCGGAUUUGUAAGAUAGCGGUGAAAUGCCGGGGCUCAACCCCGGAACUGCCAGUAUGACUAUGUAUUUAGAGUAAUGGAGAGGAUGGGGGAAGACCGGGUGAAGAGGGGAAAGUCG